ensembl:lncRNA
CCUGCUAAAAAUGCUUGCGUCAGACUGGCUGGUGUAAGUUAACGUUCGUUGGCCUGCACGAUGGAGCUGACUAGAAUGUCUACAGCUAACUUAAUAAAGGAGUUAAUACAAUUUGGUAUCGAAGUCACUGAAGAGGAGAGGAAAAAGUUUGAAGGUGAGUAACGUUAUGCUGUUACAUUUUUUAAAAGUUUGAAGUGUGUACUUGAGGAUUUUCAAGCUACUUAGUGAUUGACGUUUUACAUUUUGAGGCAAAUUUUCCCGCCUUUGCGAGUAUGACAACAUUUUGUAAUGGGCAGCAGGAGAGUUGCCCAACGCACUCCUUAUCACACAGACAUUUUGUGUAACGUUAGAUACAGCAAAGCAACUUGAAAUUAAUUAAGUAAAAGGACAGCAUCCGAGCGAAUAUUUAUUCGUUACAAACAUGACAGUAACGUUAAUGUCAGAUGUUUGUAAGCGGGGGAGGUGUGUCUCUCACUUUUAAAAUGUAAAUUCGUCUCCUGUAACGUUAGUUUUUUUUUUUUUUUCGGUAACGUGUGUUCACGGAGAGAUUUUAUUUUUCUGCAGUCUUUUUAUUCAUAUCCCAAAUGAAUUAAGUGCUGAACACUCUAAUGCAGGGAUCUCCAACCCUGCUCCUGGAGAGCUACCGUUCUGCAGACUUCAGUUCCAGUCCUGCUCCAACACACUUGUCUAUAAUUAUCAAGUAGCCCUGAACACCUUGAUUAGCUGCUUCAGGUGUGUUUGAUUGGGGUUGGAGCUGAAAUCUGCAGGACCGUAGCUCUCCAGGAGCAGGGUUGGAGACUAAUGCAUUGUGUUUUUACUCAUACUUAAUAUAUAGAAUAUCAAUUAUUUUAUUUAUUUAUUAUCCAGCAGUGUAUUUGAUUUCUUAAACAAUAAACGUUAAUAGGAAAAGCUUCAAAAACACUGGUUUAGUACAUGCUUCAGUUUGAUGGGUAAUUAAAUGAUACUUUUCUUCUUUUUUUGUGUUAUAGACAAUGAUGUGGAUGGAGGGACUGUUGACAUCGGACUGACUGAGUCAAUGAUUUCAUUCCUUUUUGAGGGAUCAUUUAAAAAACAAGCAAAAUUUCAUCGAUUUGUUCAGCAGAUGAAGGAGACAGUGACAUUAACUCUUGAACCUGUGCCUGUAGAAAGCCAGUCAAGAGCUGGAGCAAGUAAUAUCAGCCCAUCAACAGCUUUCCCUGCAUUUUUUGAAGUUCCCAAGUUUCCAUUUGAUGUUCAGGCCAAGUUGGACCGAAAAGAAUGCAGACUAACGUCAUCAGACCGAAACAAAAUUAUUAGAACGUUGUAUGAAAGCAUGGCUCAGUACAAAAUGUAUUUCUCAUUACCUAUACCUGUUUUAAUUGCUUACAUUCCAUUUUAUACAACAUUUAAUGCUACACUCAUGUGUUUAAAAUAUUUUUGUAGGUAUCCAACUACAGAAGAGUAUGUUCAAGUGGCUAAGGCCCUGACUCUGAGGUAUCCCUUUUUAAAAGACAAAGAGGGCAAUGGAUAUGUAAGUAGCUGGUUUACCUUUAAUUUUCUACUUUUGGUUCUUGGUUAAUGGAGUUUAUUUUGUGAAACUACUUUUUGCUUUUUAGCACACUUGGCACAUAUAUCAGAAGGUCAGCUAGAAUAUUUUGAAGCAUCAAAAAUACAUUUUGGUCCAAAAAUAGCAAAAACUACAACUUUAUUCAGGAUUCUCUUCUCUUUCGUGUCCGUUGUGAGUGCGACUGACUGCUGUGACAGUUGACGUAUGACGCUGCUGACAUGUUUUCUUUGUUACUGGGUGCACCAGAAAAAACUUCAACAGCGUCGUGAACGUGCUCACAACGGACCCGGAAGAGAAGACAAUGCUGAAUAAAGUCGUAAUUUUUGUUAUUUUUGGACCAAAAUGUAUUUUCGAUGCUUCAAAAUAUUCUAACGGACCCUCUGAUGUCACGGACUACUUUGAUGAUGUUUUUCUUACCUUUCUGGACAUGGACAGUAGACCGUACACACAGCUUCAAUGGAGGGACUGAGAGCUCUCAGACUAAAUCUAAAAUAUCUUAAACUGUGAUCUGAAGAUAAACCGAGGUCUCACGGGUUUGGAACGACAUGAGGGUGAGUUAUUAAUGACAUAAUUUUCAUUUUUGGGAGAACUUACCCUUUAAGUGACAAGAUGAACAAAUUGUCAUCAUUCUCCUGCCCAAAAUUAGAAAUAACUAGGAAUGCACCAAAAUAAAAGUUCUUGGCCAAAACAGAAAAUUCUAGAUGCACAGAAAUUUCCUGUCGGCGUGUUAUUUCGUUGGAGCGAUACACAAGUGGAAUACAUUUUUAUGGAGCAAAAUAUUGAGUGGAGCAUCACACUGUUCGGUGACAGCAGCUAGACAGAGAGUGAAACCUGUGUACAUGCUCAGCUCAUAUUUUUGGCCAUUUUUCUCUUUUGGCCAAAAAAUGAAAAUAGCAUUUUUGGCCAAUAAUUUUCAACACAGAAAUUUCGGUGCAUCUCUAGAAAUAAAAUUCUAUCUGUUUUGUUUUUGUCUAUGCACAAGGAGAUUAAUGCUGUUGGAGAGGAUGCUACAUCAAUAGAGGGACAUGUGAAAGUCCUGCAGGACCAAUAUAGAAGGACACAGCCAGAGACUCACAUUGUUGAAGAUCGAAUGAGGAGGACCUUUGCCUGGAGGCGGCAGGAGAUUACUAGUGGUAUGACUGUUGACGAUGUCGUCAACAAAUAUCCAUUCUUGAAGAGUCCAUCAGGGGUUAGUGUGCAAAUUAUAAUUAUGAAAUUACAAAAUCUCACAUGUAACACACUAAAACUGUAUAAAAUUAUCUGAUUUACUUAUGCUUGUCUUUCAAUUAACUGCAGCUUUAUCAAGAAAUUGGUUUCCUGUAUAAAUGUGUUCAACUGAGCCGCCAUUUUCGAGAACAUUGUGCUUUGUCAUUUAGAGUGAACCAUCCUCACCAUAUCCUACUGUUCAAGUACAGGAGACCACUGACUGGAAAACUGUGUUUACAAGAAGAGUCACUGCAGUCAUCAAAGUUGAUGAAAUUGAAAUCUGCCAGGCAAACCUUUGCGUUCUUUAUGGUGUUUAAGAUUUGAAGGAAAACAUCAAUAUUUUAAACAGGUUGCCAGCACGUGUAGAAAUUUUGUUAACAUUUCAUCCACUUUAAGUAAUCGAAAUCAACACAGACAAUGUUGGGAAUUGUCUUCUGUUAAUAUGUUGGGGGAAUAUGAGAGAGUUGCUGGAUGUUGUGUGAGCACACCAUUUCGAACUUUGCCUGUGGCUCUACAGCAUUCAGUGAAAGCAAUUAAGAAGUACAGCCAUGUUAAUUUUGAAGGCAAACAACUUCAACGAGUAACAGAAGUAGUGCUUAAUGAUGUCAAAUACUGUGUUAAAGAUGUGUUUACUGUGGGUCAUCUGCAUGCAGAAGCUGUUCCAUUGUUUUUUCAGAUUAACUACAUUCUUAACAUAGACACAGACUGGUUAUCGUGUGGCAAGCUUUUAAUUCCGGUUUCUUUUUGUCGCCAUUUUUAUUCAUACUGUGUGAAAUGUGAGAAUGAAUGGACUGUCCUCUUGCCAGGUGAAGAAGUUGAUUACCAGGCAUUAGACACGUACCACGUUGAUGACAAGUUAUUUAUUAGCACUAGAUACACUUGCUGAAGACAAAUUGCUGCAAACGUCAAAAUGUGCAGUACUUGAUGUAGCCUGUGUAAUAAGGCUGUUUUACUUGUUUGAGUUUUUCUGAGUUUUUCAUUGAAUAGCUAGUUUUUUCUUGACAUGCUUGCUGUUGUGAGAUGUAAUGAAAUCUUUUUAAAAGAAAAUUUCUAAAUAAAAUUGUCUAUUUGUUAGCCAAGGUAUUUAUUUAUUUAUGCCUGCACACAGACACCAAAAUAAUCAAAAUGGUUAGACAGUAUCCUGAGGAUGCUUUUAAUAAGGUAUACUUUUUUUGCCUUUGCAAAAUUGUUCCUUGGGGUACAAAAUUGCCCCUUAAAUGGUACAAAGAUAGAAGGUACAAUUUUGUACCUCUGACUAGAGGUACAAAAUUGUACCCUUCAGGGUACCACCCCAGCGACGGCCACUUGUACCUUAAAAGGUACAGUUUUGUACCUUUCUUUCUGAGAGUGUAGGGACACAGAAAAGCAUGACUGGACCGAACACUUGACUUGUGUUAGUCAAGUGUUCGGUUUUUUGUGUGUGUAUGUGUUCUGUUUUUGCUCUCUCCCUUCCUCUCUUUCAAAUGCUGAUGACUAACAGAUCGAGUUCAGUUAGCUGAUGAUUCUGCUGACGAUGGCACUGUCCUGAUUGGUUCAUUAGAGAAAAUGUUUGGAGUUAAAAGGCAGAGCUGAGACGUCUGUGCUGUGGAGGCUUGGAGUAGGAGGUCUUUUUGUAGUUGGUCCUUAGCAUAGGUGGGUUGUGUUUAGGAGUUAGUAUGUUUUUGUUUAUGUUGGCCUUGACCCCUCCUGAAGCUCUGUUUGCUUCCUUGUGUUCAAUAAAUUUAAUUAUGAUUUGCAUGGAUUAUGGUUUUGUGUGAGUCAGUCGAAGGGGAAAGCUCCCUCCAUUCAUCCACCACUUUUUUCGUACUACUUCCCAUCCCUAAAAUGGGGAGGUAUGUAAACAAACACAUUAUGAUGAGGAAAAAUCAUUUCCCAACACAAGUUCAACCUUCACCAAAGGAAAAUGAAUGAUAAAAAGAAAUAAUAUGUUGGCUACAUAUGUUACUUUUACCUUUGAAUACAUUUUUUACUGAAUUUUUGUUUUCAGUUUCAGCACCAUAAAUCUAACAUAUGCAUGUUGUAAAUAUAGAAAGGGGCAGAAAUAAACAAACUUUUCAGACAUUAAUGUGAUAACGGUUUAUUGUCCAUGAUAAAGAUAGUACAUCUGCAUAGGUUUAAUUGCCCCCCCCCCCCAGAAGAGACCAGAAGUGAUCCUAAAAGAGGAAAAAAUUGCACAUUUCAAAUGGCUGUAACUCAAACUCCAACAAGCAUGUCAAAGGGAAAAACAGCAAGAUAACUACUUAUGAUAUGAUUACUAAAUAAGACUUGAUGCAAUUUUCUCACAUAUACAGAAAGUUUAAAAAUAAGUGUUUUAAAAAGUGUUCUUAGUAUAACACCAAAUUUCAGUCUGGUUCUCAAAUAUAUCAUAAAGGUUUGCACAAUGAACAUAUUGAGGUAGCCCUUUGUUCAUUAAAUAUACUAUUUACUUCAUUUCAUUACUAAAAGGUUUUUAAACUACAUUACCCAUACGCCUUUGGCACUAUAUUGAUGUGACAUGGGACUGUAAAUUGUAGUUAAUUGUAGUUCCCUACUUAUGCUGUAGGGUUAGGGUUAUGAUUUCGGUAAAUGGGUAAUUUCUUUGCUACAUAUCAAUCACUUAUUGUUCAGUGACAGUUGCUGAAGUCAUAAUGACAAUAAAACAUAGUGUGCAACAUGAAGCACCUUGUAUUUUUGCCUAAACAUUAGUCCAGCCACAGCGUGUAAAAAUCCACGUCACACAAACUUGUCCAAAUGUGGUCAUUACAGGAUCUUCUGGCAGAAGUAGGGUUAUACCAGAAGUUCAGUUAAAUAUUUUUUCUUCUCGUUAAAAAUAAAAAUAUAAUUUUACAGGUAUACAUUCCCAUCUUGGGGUAACGUGACGUAGAAACAGUUUAGUGAAUCCUUUUUUCAAAGCAUUGAUUUUCAUAGUAUGAACCGGUAGGAGGGUAAUUGUGACAGCUGUGUACUGUAUACAAAUAAACUAUUAUGUGUGCAUAUAUAUGUAUGUAUA